GACAGAGGGUGCAAACGUUGUUCGGAAUUACUGGGCGUAAAGCGAGUGUAGGCGGUCUGCUAAGUCGGGCGUGAAAGCCCUGGGCUCAACCCAGGAAGUGCACUCGAAACUGGCAGGCUAGAGUACUGGAGAGGUUGGUGGAAUUCUCGGUGUAGAGGUGAAAUGCGCAGAUAUCAGGAGGGACACCAAUGGCGAAGGCAGCUCGCUGGGACGGUACUGACGCUGAGGCGCGAAAGCUAGGGGAGCGAACAGG
rnacentral:rRNA from 1 species